rnacentral:misc_RNA from 1 species
AAGUCGUAACAAGGUUUCCGUAGGUGAACCUGCGGAAGGAUCAUUAUUACGUAUCCACGUAUCAACCCAAUCGUGAACUUGUUUCCCGUCUGAUGAGGAUUUCUGCGACCAAUUGAUAAAAUGCGUGAUGAACUGGAGGGUAGAAGAAAGGUUUCGGCCUGAUUCUUCUCCAGCAUCAAGCGGUCGGUCCUAGACUCUUCCAAGGCUUUCAGUCUUUGUUGAGUCUAGCUCAUUGGAUGUGGUUUAUUUCAUCAUGCGACUUAUUAACCCCUUGUACAAAUAUGAACUAAAACAAUUGCUGCCCGAUCAAAAGGGUGGUAACAAAUUGAAACUAAAAACAACUCUUAACAACGGAUAUCUUGGUUCUC